AGGUGACGGCAAGAACCAUAAUAUAGCCCCAGACAUUAUUGUCCACAGGUUCAAAGGACAGACGCACCUCUCUCUACCUGACUGGCGUGACCCCGCCCCUGACCCCGCCUGACAAGGGAAAGCACUCAGUGGUUGUCGUCGGCUUGUUGAUGUAGAGGCUUCAGAAUGGAUGAAAAAAUGCGUGAAACGCUACUCCGGAGUCGCGUAUUUUUACUGGACACUGUCGUCAUGACGGAUUUGAUGGACUACAUGAUUGAACAAGAUAUCUUCUCUGAUGCCAUGAGAGAAAGGAUCAUGGCAGGUGAGACUAACAGAGAACAGAUUAAAAGAAUGCUGGAUGAACUGGCUAGACGACCACCCUGCUGUUUU